rnacentral:rRNA from 1 species
ACCAGUCCUAACCCAAACACUCAACCCACUUAACUAAAAAAAAUCUAAUAAAUUAAAACAUUUACCCACCUUAAAAGUAUAGGAGAUAGAAAUUAAAUUUUUGGAGUUAUAGAGACAGUACCGUAAGGGAAAGCUGAAAGAAAUAACUUAUAGUAAUUUAAAGCAAGGAUAAAUACCUUUACCUUUUGCAUAAUGAAUUAACUAGAAAAAACUUUGCAAAAAGAACUUAAGCAAAGUACCCCGAAACCAAACGAGCUACUAAUGAGCAGUUAAAAGAAUGAACCCGUCUAUGUAGCAAAAUAGUGGGAAGACUUGUUAGUAGAGGUGAAAAGCCUAGCGAGCUUGGUGAUAGCUGGUUGUCCAGAAUAGAAUUUUAGUUCAACUUUAAAUUUACCUAAAAGAACAAUUAAUCCUAAUGUAAAUUUAAUAGUUACUCUAAAGAGGUACAGCCCUUUAGAUAAAGGAAACAGCCUUAUUUAGAGAGUAAAUUCCCCAUCCUUCAUAGUUGGCUUAAAAGCAGCCAUCAAUUAAAAAAGCGUUCAAGCUUAACACACUCACUAAUUCAACUUAAUUCCACACUUUAACAUGAACUCCUAAUUAAACAACUGGACUAUUCUAUAAAAUUAUAGAUGAAAUAAUGUUAGUAUUAGUAACAAGAAAAAUAUUCUCCCUGCACAAGCUUAUAUCAGACCGAAUAAUUCACUGAUAGUUAACAGAUAAAUAAAUAUACCCUAAACAUUUAAUUCUUAUUAUCUAUACUGUUAACCCAACACUGGCGUGCUUAAAGGGAAAGAUUAAAAGAAGUAAAAGGAACUCGGCAAACACUAACCCCGCCUGUUUACCAAAAACAUCACCUCUAGCAUUACUAGUAUUAGAGGCACUGCCUGCCCAGUGACACAUGUUUAACGGCCGCGGUAUCCUGACCGUGCAAAGGUAGCAUAAUCAUUUGUUCCUUAAAUAGGGACUUGUAUGAAUGGCCUCACGAGGGUUAAACUGUCUCUUACUUCCAAUCAGUGAACUUGACCUUCCCGUGAGGAGGCGGGGAUAAUGCAAUAAGACGAGAAGACCCUAUGGAGCUUAAAUCUAAUUAGCCUAAGCACUCACCUAAAUAUAUACCAACAGGAAUCAACAAACUUGCUUGUAGGCCACAGAUUUCGGUUGGGGUGACCUCGGAGUAUAAACCAACCUCCGAAUGAUCUUAACUUAGACAACAACCAGUCAAAGUUUUAACUCAUUAAUUGACCCAAACUUAUUGAUCAACGGAACAAGUUACCCUAGGGAUAACAGCGCAAUCCUACCCAAGAGUCCAUAUCGACAGUAGGGUUUACGACCUCGAUGUUGGAUCAGGACAUCCAAGCGGUGUAACCGCUGCUAAUGGUUCGUUUGUUCAACGAUUAAAGUCCUACGUGAUCUGAGUUCAGACCGGAGCAAUCCAGGUCGGUUUCUAUCUAUUCAACAUUUCUCCCAGUACGAAAGGACAAGAGAAAUGAGGCCUAUGACACUCUCACGCCUUAGAGAAAAAUAAAUGAAAUAAUCUUAAUUUAACAACUCAUUCCCCCACUCACCCUAGAUCGGGGUAU